rnacentral:RNase_P_RNA from 1 species
AUGGGGCUGUCGCGUGCCAUGUAGCCGUAAGGUAUUGGCGUGAGGAAAGUCCGGGCAUCAUAGGGCAGGAUAACGGAUAACGUCCGCCGAGGGAGACCUCCGGGAAAGUGCAACAGAAAUAGACUUCCGUGAUUUUUCGCGGUAAAGAUGGAAAGGCGAGGUAAGAGCUCACCGGCACGACAGGCAACUGUGUGCAAAUGUAAACCCUAUCCGAUGCAACGCCUCAGUGCGGGGAGUCUCUCCGAUUUUCGGGGGAUUCGUGGCUGCCCGUCAUAUCCCGCGAGGCGGCACAGAAAUUUGCGGCAACGUAUAAUUCCAGAUAGAUGACAGCUGUAAUCGUUCGAUUUUUCUAUCGUUAAGAUUAGAUAAUCGCCAGAUUAUACAGAACCCGGCUUAUAAGUCUGC